rnacentral:ribozyme from 14 species
AAGCAGAGUGAGAGAGAGAAACAAAGAAAGACAAAGAGAGGAGGAGAACACUUGUCAUAGUACUUGUCGUGCGCUGUUGUCACAGUUGAAGUUGUACUAUAGUUCUUGUUGUUUGUUGUUAUUGUUGUU